ensembl:lncRNA LINC02653 long intergenic non-protein coding RNA 2653
GGGAUACUUAACCUAUAAUAUACAAAGGAUUUUAUAUCCCCUUAUAAAUAUGACAUGUUCAACUAUUCUGCAAGAGGGACUAUGGAAACCCCUAGAAAUGUCACUUAAGGAGAAUCUGGGGGCAUUCGGGAAUAAUUAUUUGAAAAAUUGCAACUAGAGAGAAGGAGGAGUAAAAUGGUUGACGAGAAGCUUUCACUAAUUAUCCUUCCUGCUGGAACACCAAACUGAACAACUAUCCACAGGGUGAAAACCCAGGGUAUUAUAUCCUUAGAAUUUAUUUCUACCAGAAAGUUGCCACUUUAUAUAUUCUGCCAACAAGCUUGCUUGCAAGAGGAGAAGCCACUAUUAUUCCCGAGUCAGUGGCAUGAACACGUGGACUGCAGAGAUAACUGAGGUAAGAAAGCUAUGAACCUGGAACAAGAAUCAUGGGGAGAAGCAAUAUGCAAUUUUGUGAAUUAUGAAUUUAAGUUCAUAAAGGGAACUGGGAUUGGGACCCUGUGGGAAGCCCUGAAGAAGAAAGACCAGGAAAAUUGGUAAGAGAAUCAUUUCAGUUUGAAUGAACCAGGACAAGGCACCAGAGGGCUUUAACCAGCCAUGCUGACCACAGAAUGGUGCUUAACUCAGUGCCCUCUUGAAUACAGAAGGAAAAAGGGCAGGCUUAAAUUAAGGCUGUGCCCAGGCAUCAAUGAGGUGACGAGAAGACUAAGGCUUAGAAGACUUAAGUAACUUGCAAAGGUCAUGGAGUGAUCAGGUGGCUAUGCAUAUAAUCCCAAGAGUAGUCUGUGUGAAAGCUUAUGUGCUCUAUGCUGCUUUUCUACAUCAGAAAGGUGGAAAUUCUCCCUCUCUGUUGUAUCCCUCACAGAAUGACCACAUGAUUAUUCUGAUAGCUUAAUGAAAAGUGUGUUCCUGGCUAGGCAAACUUCUCAUUUGCUUAGUUCAGUGCUGGAUAUAAAGAAGAUGAAUGUGGCCUCAGACAUCUAA